GCCCCGAUGUGCCUUAAAGUAGAAGUUAAUUGCGCCCAAGUCCGAACAUGAAAAAGCAGGUCACAUGAUGAGAUGAUAUAAACUGGUUUUCAUUAUCUUUCAGAAAGCAAGCGAAUCUCGUUAGAAAUCGAUUAGCGGCACCUAGUCAUUUUGAAAUCGUGUGCAGCGGCGGAAGUGGGUGGUGCCUGGGCUUUGGUCAACUAGCGCUCGGAUUGCACUGCUACAGCUGUAGUCGAGAGGUUGCCAGUCUCUGUUCUACUGUCAACAAAGAUGGACAGCAUAGCAACCAACACUGACAUAAAAGGGCUAGUCCAUGUUCAUCUUCCAGUUUUCUCAGCAAGUCUUCCUGUGAUACCAAAACGCUAUAUAAUGCCAUGGAAAAAAGACAUGAAAAAUCGAAAAUCAAUCCUAAAAAAUGCUGCUCUUGCUGAAAUUCCUCAUGGACCACAUGAUGCCAGCUUGUUUUGGGAGCAUCGAGAGAGGCUGUGCCAUUCAGAGCCUAGAGCAGCUGUGCUGAUGAAAACACAGGAUGUUGUGAUUCCUGGAGUGUUAAAUCCACCAAAUGGUUCUCACUACUCUAGAUUCCUAAGUUCUGUGAUCAAUAGAAGAGAUAUGCAAUGAUUCUUAUAAACUGUGCUUUCUUAUUUGAGCUUUAAUCACUUCUGUCAUUAAAAGUCAUUCUCACUAUUGUUACAUAAAGAGACUGAAAGUAAGAACUUAAUUAUCACAACACUGGCAGUUAUACAAGAUCUUCUUUCUUGUCUAACUUAAAGCUUGAGUGGGUGUGGUAUUUUGAAAAGCUUAAUGCUAUAUCAGCCAAUCUGGCAUAAUUUCUAUUUUCCAUCCAUCCAUUAUCCAACCCACUGUAUCCUAUUUUCUAAUCCCUAAUUAGCUUAGGAAAGAAUAUCGCAAAAGAUAGACUUUCCAGUAUAACUUUUAAGAUACUGGAGAAUAGGCUUUGCAGAAUGACUUUUAAGAUACCAGAGACCAUACAUCAUUGUACAAGUGACCAUUCAUACAUUUUGAAUUAAUACAUUAUAUUGGGCUUUGAUAAGUAUUAAUGAAGCCAUAAAUAUAGACUGUCUCACAAUUGGUUAUAUCACCAAAGAAUUAAUGUGUCAUCUUUGUAACUAAGAAUUGACUUUGAAUGGUUUCAACAGGCAUGCUGCAGGAAUUAUCUGUGCCAGGAAAUUAGAUAUUGUUCCAUAAUCUGUUUUCACAAUCUUUUUCUGCUGACAGAUCUCAUUUCUUUUUAGUGAAGUUUUUUUCUGCUUAGCAACGCUUUAUCUGUCAUAUAUUUUCACCUCCUGACUUGUGUUUGUUUUUUCGUGUCUGCCAUUGCUCAAAUUUAAGCAUUGUACCAGCUUAUUCUCCUGUUUUUGCCUUUUUGCUUGCUUGUUUUCUCUAGUAUUACAAUUGAUAUUAUUGUUAAAUUCUUUCACAGUGACUUUACUUUGUCCUUAUGAUAGGUUUACCUUGCAUCAUGUACCAAGUUGUCCAUGUGUGUCGUCUUUGUUGGAUGCAUUUUAAUGUAGUCAGAGAUGGCUUUCAUUGUCCGCAUGGUGCUAGAGGCUCAUCCCGAUGUGUUGAAUGGUAUAAGUGAAAGAUUUCACUUCAUAGGUGGGUAGUAUUUAGUCAGACUCCCCUCAUUGCAGAAAAGUUAAAGUACAAAUGUUGGAUAACCUUACAUGUCUUAUUGGUUUUCUUUUUAAUCUGAACCUAUGUCUGAUAUAUGAAGCGAAUCUGAAAAUAUUGUCAGUUAGUGGUUUAUUUAAUGUUCUAAAUCGGCAAUUACCAAAAUAAUAAGUUGAAUUGUAAAAGUUUUAAACUUUAUUUUUAUGCAUGAUUCCUGCUUUGAAGAUGAACAUAACCACGUCCUUACUGCACCAUCCUAUGAAUAAGUAAAUAUUUGAAGGAGAUGACCAUUAACUUGCUUUGCCUCUAAUUGUUAUCACUGAAGUUUUGAAGUCAUGCUUAAUACCAAACAAAUAAAUAUAUUUUUUUGCCUAAAUAUUGUACAGAAAAAAUGUAGAGAUUGGAGGGAAAAUAGUGUAUAGCCUGCUUAAACAAAACACACUUGUAACAGUGUAUGUAAAGUCGUAGUGAUAGAAUUAGAAGUACUGCAAACUGUCAGAAAUAAAUUGGGUCUUUUUUUAAUUUGAUAAAAACAAAAAUACUGUGCUUAUCAAAAAAGAUUACACAAUAUUUAAAAUACAAGAAAAAUUAGAGCAAAAAAUAUAAGCAUUUGCUAAUAUAGUCAGAUAUUAAAGAAAUAUAGAAUGGAAGAUCCAAAGUACUGCAGAGAAGAGUUUGUUUUUCAUGCGACAUUCUAAUUUUACAAUCUGCAUGACCAGUGAACCCUCAUAGACAGACUCUGAAAGGGAAUGCCAAAGAGAAAUAGUUAAUGAAUUAAGUCACUUUCCAGCAAGAGUUGGACAGCAUAAAUCUAUGAUAGUGAAAAGGCUAGUGUUAGACAGUACCUAUUGUUUUAUUGUUAUUGGGACAAGCAGCAAUGACCAGUCAUUUUGCAAAAUUAGACUUGCAGGGUAGCAGCCCUCUGUAAUAGUCGGGUGAAGGAGGUGUGUGGAGGAUGGUCAGUGAGGGACAGAGAUGAGAAGAAAAUUCAUUCAGACAGAUGGUAGUAUGGCCAUGAGCAUAAAUCAGAGUGUCUAAAAGACCUGAGAAAAUUAAUAAAGGGGGAGUGUUUACCCUGUAGUCGAUCUCCUAAAAGCAAGAUACUACACACUCAUACAUAUCACAUUUUUACUAUUUUAAAUAAGAUGGUUCUUAUCUUUAUAAUAUAUUAUAAUAUAGCCAGCCGUUGCCACCAAAGGGGAAAAUGUCAUGUCAUUUUCUGACCCACUUAACCCUGACCGGGUGGUGCAGGAGCCUAACCGAGUAAGCAUAUGUCGCAAGGAAGGAACAACCCCAGACAGGACACCAGCCCGUGAACACACACAACAAACACACACCAGGGUAAGUUUAACGUUGCCAAUUUACCUAGCCAACAUGUCUUUAGACAGUGAGGGGAAACUGGAGAACCCAGAGGAAGCCCACACAGACACAAGGAGAAUAUGCAAACUUCACGUAGGAAGGACCCGGGAUGCGAACCCUAGUCUGCUAAAUGGUCAAUGUUUAGCAAUGGCACCAUUGUAGUAGCCAAUCUGUAGUCAUUGCACAAUAUACUGCACACUUUUUUUUUUUUUUGGUCAAGAAAUCUUUCUCCUUAUGAUAUUUAUCUCCCAAGGUAGAUAAUAUUCUCUCCCAAUUUUAAAUUAUUGCAUUAUAAGAGUGUUAGUGGAAUCAGUGUUCAAAAUCUAUUUUUAUACUAAAGUCAAUGCUUUUAGCAUCAUGUUAAUGGUCAUGUUCACUGACUAAAUUUAGUGACUAUUUUGUAACAGUGGAGGACCAAUGUGCAGCAGAAUAUGCAUGUAGCAAACAGAAAUUUGGUAUUUGGCCAAUUAAACAUGUUAACUUGCAUUUGUUCAUGAAAUGGGUGAAAACAUUUGAUUUUUAAUAUCAAAAAAUGUACAGAUAACUAAAGAAUUCCCUUUGUCAAGGAGCCAUGUGACUAUUGUAUACUUUUUUUCUGCAUAUUACUGUAUAUUUUUUUUACUUUUACUUAUUUGUGUUCUCUGGCAGAAUGUUUUGUAUGUUAGUUAUUCAGUUUCUAAUUUGAGCAUUUCUUUAAAAGCAAUUUCUUUUGACA